UGAUCCUGGCUCAGGAUGAACGCUAGCGGCAGGCCUAACACAUGCAAGUCGAGGGGUAACAGGAAAGCUUGCUUUCGCUGACGACCGGCGCACGGGUGCGUAACGCGUAUGCAACCUACCUCAUACUGGAGGAUAGCCCCUGGAAACGGGGAUUAAUACUCCAUAGUAUCACGAAUUCGCAUGUUUUUGUGAUUAAAGUUUUUCGGUAUGAGAUGGGCAUGCGUCCCAUUAGCUUGUUGGUGAGGUAACGGCUCACCAAGGCAACGAUAGGUAGGGGGCCUGAGAGGGUGGUCCCCCACACUGGUACUGAGACACGGACCAGACUCCUACGGGAGGCAGCAGUGAGGAAUAUUGGUCAAUGGAGGCAACUCUGAACCAGCCAUGCCGCGUGAAGGAUGACGGCCCUAUGGGUUGUAAACUUCUUUUAUAGAGGAAGAAACUUGUCUACGUGUAGACAACUGACGGUACUCUACGAAUAAGGAUCGGCUAACUCCGUGCCAGCAGCCGCGGUAAUACGGAGGAUCCAAGCGUUAUCCGGAUUCAUUGGGUUUAAAGGGUCCGUAGGCGGGUCUUUAAGUCAGUGGUGAAAGCCGACAGCUCAACUGUCGAACUGCCAUUGAUACUGGAGACCUUGAGUACAAAUGAAGUAGGCGGAAUGAGUCAUGUAGCGGUGAAAUGCAUAGAUAUGACUCAGAACACCGAUUGCGAAGGCAGCUUACUAACAUGUAACUGACGCUGAGGGACGAAAGCGUGGGGAGCGAACAGGAUUAGAUACCCUGGUAGU
rnacentral:rRNA from 1 species